rnacentral:rRNA from 1 species
GAUGAACGCUGGCGGCGUGCCUAAUACAUGCAAGUCGAACGCUGAAGGAAGGAGCUUGCUCUUUCCGGAUGAGUUGCGAACGGGUGAGUAACGCGUAGGUAACCUGCCUGGUAGCGGGGGAUAACUAUUGGAAACGAUAGCUAAUACCGCAUAACAGUAGAUGUUGCAUGAUAUCUACUUAAAAGGUGCAAUUGCACCACUACCAGCUGGACCUGCGUUGUAUUAGCUAGUUGGUGAGGUAACGGCUCACCAAGGCGACGAUACAUAGCCGACCUGAGAGGGUGAUCGGCCACACUGGGACUGAGACACGGCCCAGGAUCCUUCGGGAAGCAGCAGGAGGGGAACAUCGGCAAAGGACGGAAGGCUGACCGAGCAACGCCGCGUGAGGGAAGAAGGGUUUCGGAUCGUAAAGCUCUGUUGUAAGAGAAGAACGAGUGUGAGAGUGGAAAGUUCACACUGUGACGGUAUCUUACCAGAAAGGGACGGCUAACUACGUG